UACGUAGGGGGCUAGCGUUGUCCGGAAUCAUUGGGCGUAAAGAGCGUGUAGGCGGCCUGAUAAGGGUGUGGUGAAAGUCCGGGGCUCAACCCCGGAUCUGCCGUGCCGACUGUUAGGCUAGAGUACUGUAGGGGCAGGCGGAAUUCCGGGUGUAGCGGUGGAAUGCGUAGAGAUCCGGAGGAAGACCGGUGGCGAAGGCGGCCUGCUGGGCAGUUACUGACACUGAGGCGCGACAGCGUGGGGAGCAAACAGG
rnacentral:rRNA from 1 species